AGAUAAUGAAGUAAAAAUUACAAUUAGUUUCGACCUAAAAUUAGAACCAAUAAGUUCCUUAUCUA
rnacentral:tRNA from 1 species